rnacentral:rRNA from 1 species
GAUGAACGCUAGCGGCAGGCCUAAUACAUGCAAGUCGAACGAGAUUGUUGUAGCAAUAUGACAUGAAAGUGGCGCACGGGUGCGUAACACGUAUGCAAUCUACCUUUGAUAGGGGAAUAGCUUCGAGAAAUCGGAAUUAAUACCCCAUAACAUAUUCGAGUGGCAUCACUUGAUUAUCAAACCUCCGGGGAUCAAAGAUGAGCAUGCGCAACAUGAGCUAGUUGGUGAGGUAACGGCUCACCAAGGACACGAUGUUUAGGGGGUCUGAGAGGAAGGUCCCACACCCGGGUACUGAGACACGGACCAGACUCCUGCCGGUGGCAGCAAUAGGGAAUGUUGAUCAAUCGAGGCAACUCUGAACAAGCCAUGCCGCGUGCAGGAUUACAGCCCUCUGGGUUGUAAACUGCUUUUAUACUGGAAGAAAAAGGGCUACGUGUAGCUUAUUGACGGUACCGUAAGAAUAAGGAUCGGCUAACUCCGUGCCAGCCGCCGCGGUAACAC